rnacentral:rRNA from 1 species
UACGUAGGGUGCGAGCGUUAAUCGGAUUUACUGGGCGUAAAGCGUGCGCAGGCGGUUUUGUAAGCCAGAUGUGAAAUCCCCGGGCUUAACCUGGGAAUGGCAUUUGGGACUGCAAGGCUGGAGUUUGGCAGAGGAGACUGGAAUUCCUGGUGUAGCAGUGAAAUGCGUAGAUAUCAGGAGGAAUACCGAUGGCGAAGGCAGGUCUCUGGGCUAUAACUGACGCUCAUGCACGAAAGCGUGGGGAGCAAACAGG